rnacentral:rRNA from 1 species
GACGAACGCUGGCGGCGUGCUUAACACAUGCAAGUCGAACGAAGUGGCGAACGGGUGAGUAACGCGUAAUCAACCUGCCCUUCAGAGGGGGACAACAGUUGGCAACGACUGCUACUACCGCAUACUGAAGGAGGGGAUUGCGUCUGAUUCGCUAGGUGGGGGGGUAACGGCCCACCAAGGCGAUGUUCGGGUGCCGGUCUGGGAGGAUGAACGGCCAAAUUGGGACUGAGACACGGCCCAGACUCCUACGGGAGGCAGCAGUGGGGAAUCGUCCGAAAUGGACGACAGUCUGACGGAGCAACGCCGCGUGAGUGAUGACGGCCUUCGGGUUGUAAAGCUCUGUUAAUCGGGACGCGGUACCGGAAUAGAAAGCCACGGCUAACUACGUGCCAGCAGCCGCGGUAAUUC